rnacentral:siRNA from 1 species
AUUGCAAUUGCCGAGGAUACCCCU